GGAGAAUAACAGAAGACUUCAUGAUUCCUGGAGAGGAACAGCAUGUUUUGCUUGGUCUUUUUAUACAAGAGUUUUGGGAAAGCUCUGCUUAAACAGAUGAGACUAAUGAAUGCAGGUCCUUUCUCUACCUGGUCUUUCUAUUGGCACUGCCAGGACAACCACUAUCCAUCACCUGAAGGGUAUGUGGCUGAUCCUUUUCUCCCCUAACAGUGACACCUGGAGUCAUUUCUGCCAGACAAGCAAGUGUGACGCAAGGCAUAAGGCUCCCCUUUCAGUCAACGACAACCAACAAGCCAACAAAGCAAGGAUGUUCCUUCUCCAUGCUAGCUUAACAAACUAGUUAAAUUAGGCUGGGCUUUCAGCAGUGAUUCAAGCCUAUUUUAAAUGAGGCUUAGUUAUACUUCUUCAUUUUUUGACCUGCAAUGAGGUUUAUAGAAAGGUGACAUAUGAAGAGUUUUCUCCUUGCCAUAUCAGGAUUCUUCUGUUCUGUAACGAUCAGGAAAGGGAUCCAGACUCCAGAACUCACAUAUCCCAGGUGACCAAUCUCACCAUUUGAACUCAGGGAGUUCUUUGUGGCAAGAAAAAGAUGAAAAAUGUUUAUAUUGAUUCUUUUUUUUUUUUUUUUUUUUUGUUAAGUUGUGUUUUGUUUCACCCAUUGAACCUAAACCUGGGCCCGAUUCUUGCAUCUGCUAACUUCACGUUUAGUAGGUUGCUUGCAGCUUAUGUAUAGAUACACACUGAAGUGAAUCA